UUUUUUUUUUGUUUUUUCUUCCUUUCUCCCUCCAAACUCCAACCACACAACCACAGGAACGUCGCGAAGCAGAAUUCAAGAAGUACUACGGAGUACGCUUGAAGAAGAGCUCUAGCAAGCUAGCUCUACAUAUUUUUACACCACUACUAAUCUUUGUACAGCGUUGAGAAGAAGUGAAACGAAAUGAAAUGAUAGAUA
rnacentral:ribozyme from 1 species